rnacentral:lncRNA from 1 species
AUUCUUGCAGGAUCAUUGUAGGAAGGCAUAAGAGUCCUGCUUACUGGUGAGCCACUGAACACAAACUCCCUUCUCACCUCUGCCUUGGAUCCCGCCAUGCCUGAGGUCUAGGGCUAGAAGCGUUGUUUCAUCCACAUUAAUUCCGGUCUUGGGCAACGUGGCUAUUUUCUGACCUGUCUGUCUUCCCACCCUAGUGGUGAAUUCUCUUUCUGGGAUCUCAACUCCUUCUCCUGUCACCCAGCUUUUUCCGAGCAACCCCAGUCCAUCUGGCAUAUCAUUAGAAUGUUAAACCUAAAACGGUAAGCCAUUCUGUGAAUACCUUUAAGUAACAGGAUAUUAAAAUGAGACUUUUCCUGUUUUCUCAGUGCUAGCUGACAUCUUUGAGCUGAGAAAAAAAAAUAUUGUUAAAAAUGCUCAUCUAUUCUCAGGAGAUGUCAUCUGCUAAGGAGUGACCAAAAAAAUGGUCCAAUAACCCUGAAACCAUCGCUCAAAUCUUAGCUACGCAAGGGGAGACUUGUAAAUUAAUGAGGACGGCAAGGAUUUCAUGAGACAGAGCUUUCAGGCUGCUAAAAUGCUUCCUCCUCCCUUCUCAUGUGUUUUCCCCUCAUCUUACGCAAAUAAGAGGGGGCCUUCAGAGAAUUACUUGGAGAGCUGACCUAGGACCCCUAGGCUUUGGGGAACAUAGAAUGUAUUAGUGUCUAUUGCUGCUGAAACAAAUUAGCACACAUUUAACAGCUUAAAAAUAGCAAAAUUACUACCUCACAGUUCUGUAGGUUAGAAGUCCAGUGGGCGCGGCUGGUGUGUGGGCUUCAAGCCUCACAGGGCUGAAAUCAAGGUGUUGGCCAGGCUGUACUCCCUCCUAGAGGCUCUAAUGAAGCAUCUGUUUCCAGGCCUCUGCGCCUUGUUGGCGGAAUUCAGUUCAAUUUGCCUGAUGGACUGAGGUCCCUGCUUCCCUGCGGGCUGUCGGCGGGAACUGCCACUGGCUCCUUGCAGCCUCUCUCUGAUUCUUGCACAAGGGCACCUACAUCUCAGAGCCAGCGAGAGUGUGAGUGUGUGGAAUCCUUCUCACGAGGCCUCAUCUCUCUGACUUUCGUCGGGAAAUGUUCUCUGCUUUUAAAGGAUCAUGUAAUUAUUUUGAGCCUACCCGAUAAUCCAGGAUAAUCCCCUCAUCUAAAAAUCUGUUACCUUAACCACAUCUGCAAAGUCCCUGUUGCCGUGUAAUGUAAGCUAUUCACAGGUUCUGGGGAUUAGGAAAAGGACAUCUUUGGUGGGGGCCUUAUUCAGCCUACCACAUAGAGAUUAGUACCUGAAAAGCCAGCAGGUGAGAAGCUAGACAGAGCAGCCGGUGGCAGCUAAAGGAGAAAGGGGGCGAGAGCUGGAGAAGUCGCACUUCCGCCGAUGGCGCAGCAAAGGGGAUGUUGCCCUGGAGGACUCAGGGAACGGAACUGGGCUAUCAGCCGAGAAUGGGGCUCCACUCAAAAGGAGGAACCAACAGGAGACACAAGGAACCCCAGCAGGAAGAAGUCGGAGAUGGAGGAGGGGAAGUCAUAGCUGGAGGAGACGUGUGUUAGGAAGCUACAAUGGCAGCUCCCUAGUGGAGGUGUUUCGGAAAAACUCCGAAGAUUCCACUUGAGAAAAUCAUCGGCCUUCAGACAACGUCUAUGCCAGAUAAUGCUACCAAAUCACAACCUUGCCUUUCCUCCCUACUGCUGUUCUGAUGUGGGAGGACCCAAAGGCAGCAGAAGAGCCAAAGAAGAGUAGCAGAAAGGUUUAGGUGCAGUCAUCUUGGAUUUGAGUCGUGCUUGUGAAUUUUCAUGUGUUACAACAACCAGAUUAAAUUUCUUCAAGUGGAAAUAUUAAGUCAAAGAAAUUACCUAUUUCUAAUAAUUCUUACUGAAGAAGUGAAACCUAGCAGGAAGAAUUGUAUUUGCAUCAUUUGUAUGCAGCUAAGCAUUAUGUCAGGCCUCAAGGAUACAAAGAUCAAUGCAGUGUGAUUCCUGCCUUCAAGGGACCUAUCACUGUCUUGGAGAAGUAACGGUGAAAAUUAUAGUCAACAAACUACAUGACUGCUUUCCCUACUUCUGCCCUGUGGCCUUAGGACACUUAGGCAUAUCCACAGCUCUUCAAAUAAGCAAUGUGAUGUUAGCAAAAGUGCAGGGGCUCCUUGAGAACUUUCCAGGGCUAACCAGCUGCUGAGGAGUGGCCUCCAGGAAAGAGAGAAGCACUCUGAUUCAGGCAGUGAUUUACACCUAAAAUACCAACUCCAUCAUAUCUUCAGAACAAUUCUUCUAGACCUUGCAUCUAAAUAUGGAGUCAUUAACUAACAACGAACAAAACCUCUGGAUGGCCGAAGGACCUAGGCUAUACAGAAAGCUGUGAAUUACCAAUGAGAACGCAGAUCUCUAAUGCCUGUCAUCUGCGCCAUGGGCUUUAGUUCAAGUGAGUCUUCCUCCUACCUUCCGUGGCUUCUGUGAUUUACCUACCCUCUGCUUGCAAGACAAUCCAAGGUCCUCAGCAUGACACACAGGCCUUUCCCUAACUGGCCCCCAUUUGUGUCUCCAGCAUCAGUUUUUGCCUUCUGCCAUAUUGAACUUAACUGUAGUUCCUCUAGAGCCUCAGUCCCUUUCAGUGCUGCUGGGCCUUAACCAAAGUAUUCUCCUGAAAUAUUUUUCCCUUUAAUGUCUGGAAAAUAACAUGUAUUUUUUUUUUAAAGGCUGCCUCCUCUGAGAAGCCUUCCAGGGUCACCUUAGGUAAAACUGAUUGUCAGUCUCUCUUUUUGCCAGCCUUACCUAUGCCCUGUAUGUGCUACUGACAUCACAAGUCACUUCAUAUUUCAUCUAUUUUAAAAUGCACUUUUAUUCACAUUUUUUAAAAAUCCCUGAAAUCAGCCAGAUGUGGUGGUACAGGUUUGUAGUUGCAGCUACUGAGGAGGCUGAGGCAGGAGGAUCACUUGAGCCCAGGGCUCGAGGCUGUAGUGUUAUGAUCGCACCUGUGAAUGGCUACCACACUGCAGCCUUGGCAACACAGGCAGACCUUGUCUCAAAAAAAAAAAAAAAAAAAUCCCUUAAAUUAGCAUGUAACUUAUAAUCAAUGGUGUAUCAUAGUUCAAUGACAGGAUUAAAAAAAAUUUUGGUGAUACCAAAAAAAAGUACAUCUUACAUUGGAGAGCAUUUGGUGAAAUGCAGCUUCAUUUUCUAACUUUCUAAAGUGAGUGUAGGAGUGCUUCUCAUCUUGCCUCCCACCCCACCGCCCCCGCCACCUUUGGCAGUGUCUGGAGACAUUUUUGGCUGUAUCAACUUGCGGCGAGGAAUAUGCUGCUGGCAUCUAACAGGUAGAGGCGAGAGAUGCUGCUAAACAUCCUCUAAUACACAGGACAACCCCCGACAACAAAGAAUUAGCCAGGUCAAAAUGUGAAUAGUACAGAGAUUGAGAAACCCCUACGUAGAGAAACAAUACCUAUUUGGGUAUAUAAUAGGCUUUAUUAUGUUUGAUUUUAAAUAAAUCUUUUACAGUGUAUAGUGCAACUUAAUGUAUAGCAACUUUUUCCAAACCUUGGCUUGUACAGAAUAGCAACUCUUGAGACAUAUUCUAAGCUCUCCUCAUCACCCCUCCCCAACUCCUUCUGCUAGAUGCCCCAGGGAAAUAAAAUACAGCAAUGCUCCUGGUCAAAAUCUGAAAGCCAGAAUGUCUCAGAGAGAUUCGUGACCUUAAACCAAUUAGGUUAGUUAAUGGCAAGUCCAGGACUGAAACCCAGACCCCCAGAUUUCCGCAAUCUCACUCAGCCUGGGAGACAGCUGCUCCCUUCCCGGGCUAAAUUGGCUAACACAGUUUGGUACCUUAAGAGGAAAUGUGCCCUACCUAUAUGAGCUGGGUGACUUAGCAAGAGUUUAGCAUUUAGUAUUCACGCUUUAACACCCGGGACCCACCCAGCUCUCACCCCACUUUAUGAGAAUGUAGGUUGACUCUGUAAGAC